UGACAAUAAUAUGGGCAAUAGCUUCUUGUAUCUUUCUCAAGCUUGACAAAGAGUCUCACCAUUCCUUUUGUUGAAACCCAAAAAUCUAGCUCCUUAGUGA
rfam:Nicotiana attenuata strain TT chromosome 7, whole genome shotgun sequence.